UACGAGAGGCCCAAACGUUAUUCGGAAUCACUCGGCUUAAAGAGUUCGUAGGCGGUGCGGUAAGUGGGGUGUGAAAGCCCUCGGCCUAACCGAGGAAUUGCGCUCCAAACUACCACACUCGAGGAAGAUAGAGGUGAGCAGAACUGAUGGUGGAGCGGUGAAAUGCGUUGAUAUCAUCAGGAAUACCGGAGGCGAAGGCGGCUCACUGGGGGUCUUCUGACGCUGAGGAACGAAAGCCAGGGGAGCGAACGGG
rnacentral:rRNA from 1 species